CCUCAUGUUCCGCCGCUCGCCCCUCUCCGCCCUGCCCACGCCCUCCUGUGAUCUACGCCGUCAUGGAAACAAAGCAACCAGGCAGCACCUAGAAAUAGAGCAGGAGGCAGAAGUAAACGGCAUGGAGACGGGGGCGGGGAGCAAAGGUUGGAUUUGGGAAGGAUAUGGAUGACGAGGAGGUUGCUCGGGCGGUCGAAGGAGACGAUCUAGCCCUCGAACUCCUCCCCGAGGGUGGUCUUCGCGGAGAUCACCAC
rnacentral:lncRNA from 1 species